GCAUAUCAAUAAGCGGAGGAAAAGAAACCAACAGGGAUUGCCUCAGUAACGGCGAGUGAAGCGGCAACAGCUCAAAUUUGAAAUCUGGCCCCUCGGGCCCGAGUUGUAAUUUGUAGAGGAUGCUUUUGGCAAGGUGCCGCCCGAGUUCCCUGGAACGGGACGCCGCAGAGGGUGAGAGCCCCGUCUGGCUGGCCGCCGAGCCUCUGUAAAGCUCCUUCGACGAGUCGAGUAGUUUGGGAAUGCUGCUCAAAAUGGGAGGUAUAUGUCUUCUAAAGCUAAAUAUUGGCCAGAGACCGAUAGCGCACAAGUAGAGUGAUCGAAAGAUGAAAAGCACUUUGAAAAGAGGGUUAAACAGUACGUGAAAUUGUUGAAAGGGAAGCGCUCAUGACCAGACUUGGGCUUGGCGGAUCAUCCGGCGUUCUCGCCGGUGCACUUCGCCUCGCCCAGGCCAGCAUCAGUUCGCGCCGGGGGACAAAAGCUUCGGGAAUGUGGCUCCUCCGGGAGUGUUAUAGCCCGUUGCAUAAUACCCUGGGGCGGACUGAGGUUCGCGCAUCUGCAAGGAUGCUGGCGUAAUGGUCAUCAGCGACCCGUCUUGAAACACGGACCAAGGAGUCGUCUUCGUAUGCGAGUGUUCGGGUGUCAAACCCCUACGCGUAAUGAAAGUGAACGCAGGUGAGAGCUUCGGCGCAUCAUCGACCGAUCCUGAUGUUCUCGGAUGGAUUUGAGUAAGAGCAUACGGGGCCGGACCCGAAAGAAGGUGAACUAUGCCUGUAUAGGGUGAAGCCAGAGGAAACUCUGGUGGAGGCUCGCAGCGGUUUCUGACGUGCAAAUCGAUCGUCAAAUAUGGGCAUGGGGGCGAAAGACUAAUCGAACCUUCUAGUAGCUGGCUUCCGCCGA
rnacentral:rRNA from 1 species